UACGUAGGGUGCAAGCGUUGUCCGGAAUUAUUGGGCGGAAAGAGCUCGUAGGCGGUUUGUCGCGUCUGCUGUGAAAACCCGAGGCUCAACCUCGGGCCUGCAGUGGGUACGGGCAGACUAGAGUGCGGUAGGGGAGAUUGGAAUUCCUGGUGUAGCGGUGGAAUGCGCAGAUAUCAGGAGGAACACCGGUGGCGAAGGCGGGUCUCUGGGCCGAUACUGACGCUGAGGAGCGAAAGCGUGGGGAGCGAACAGG
rnacentral:rRNA from 1 species